rnacentral:rRNA from 1 species
AAAUAGAACUUUGCAGAGAGAGUUAACAGGGCGUGAAACCGUUAAUUGAGAAACGAAUCGGAGCCACGAAGUCGUUUCGUUGUUUAGUUGGGCAAGGUUCAGCUUGCGAGCUCAAACUCGCGGGUGUAUUCUUGUGUCUGGCCAAACUUUGUAAGCGUACACUGCAACCAGUUAAACGAUUAACCAUGGGCCCAGUUGUUCGGCUAGGUAACUAGCCUGUUCAACGCAGCAUUUGUUUGCUCGAGUUAGUAGUAGCGCGGUGCAUUUCGGUGCAUUUCGUGUUGCUGGGCUCGUGGCAAGUGAACUAUGGUUAAAUACUGACUGGCAAAAUGAAAAUCGCCUCUUUAGGCGUAACACAAAAUGCAGUUAACUGCAUAGACGUCUACACAUUAGACUACUGGGUCUAAGCUCAGCGUUUUUGAAUUUGGACUUGCUUGCUACCAGUGGGGCAACCCCUGGUGCUUGUAUAGCUUUCAUCUAAUCGGGCGUUGACUUGGCUCUUUAUCGUUCUGGUGUGCUACGAUCGGAUGUUUAUGUAAGCUAAUUCGCAAUUAAUUGGCAGUGAGUAGGUCGGCUUUCCGAACGACCCGUCUUGAAACACGGACCAAGGAGUCUAAUUAGGCAUCGAGUCGAUCGGUCUUGAAUAGGCCAGACUAGUGCGAGCAAUCGUGCUGAACGAAGGCGUAGAGAAAUCAAAUCGUGUGAUCAUGGGAGCAACAACAGCUCUUAUGCGCAACAUGUGCCUGUUCGUAUAGCAAUGUUAGCAAUAACUUGCUGAGCGGAGCAAAGAGAUACCUGAUUGGGACCCGAAAGAUGGUGAACUAUGCUUGGGCAAAUUGAAGCCAGAGGAAACUCUGGUGGAGGAUUGUAGCGAUUCUGACGUGCAAAUCGAUCGUCAGACCUGAGUAUAGGGGCGAAAGACUAAUCGAACCAUC